UAGGGAAUCUUCCACAAUGGACGAAAGUCUGAUGGAGCAACGCCGCGUGAGUGAAGAAGGUUUUCGGAUCGUAAAGCUCUGUUGUUGGUGAAGAAGGAUAGAGGCAGUAACUGGUCUUUAUUUGACGGUAAUCAACCAGAAAGUCACGGCUAACUACGUGCCAGCAGCCGCGGUAAUACGUAGGUGGCAAGCGUUGUCCGGAUUUAUUGGGCGUAAAGCGAGCGCAGGCGGAAUGAUAAGUCUGAUGUGAAAGCCCACGGCUCAACCGUGGAACUGCAUCGGAAACUGUCAUUCUUGAGUGCAGAAGAGGAGAGUGGAACUCCAUGUGUAGCGGUGGAAUGCGUAGAUAUAUGGAAGAACACCAGUGGCGAAGGCGGCUCUCUGGUCUGCAACUGACGCUGAGGCUCGAAAGCAUGGGUAGCGAACAGGAUUAGAUACCCUGGUAGUCCAUGCCGUAAACGAUGAGCGCUAGGUGUUGGGGACUUUCCGGUCCUCAGUGCCGCAGCAA
rnacentral:rRNA from 1 species